GCAGGAUGGGGAAUUUACAAUGGAUCUUCGUACCAAGAGCACCGGAGGAGCCCCCACCUUCAAUGUCACUGUCACCAUGACUGCCAAGACGCUAGUCCUGCUGAUGGGCAAAGAAGGUGUCCACGGUGGUUUGAUCAACAAGAAAUGUUAUGAAAUGGCCUCCCAUCUGCGGCGUUCCCAGUACUGACCUCAUCUGUCCCCUCCCCCACCGCUCCCUUCAGCUUUUGCACCCUUUCUUUCCAUACACACACAUACCAUUAUUUUUUGGGCCAUUACCCCAUUUCCCUUAUUGCUGCCAAAACCACAUGGGCCGGGGGCUGGGGCUGGACAGACAGAUACCUCCCCUUACCCAUACCCCCUCCUGUGUGUGUUUGGAAAAAAAUUGUUUUUUUUUUUUUUUUCUGAAUAAAAAAGAUUCUACUAA